rnacentral:rRNA from 1 species
GACGAACGCUGGCGGCGUGCUUAACACAUGCAAGUCGAACGGAAAGGCCCUGCUUGCAGGGUACUCGAGUGGCGAACGGGUGAGUAACACGUGGGUGAUCUGCCCUGCACUUCGGGAUAAGCCUGGGAAACUGGGUCUAAUACCGGAUAGGAGCCAUUUUUAGUGUGAUGGUUGGAAAGUUUUUUCGGUGUAGGAUGAGCUCGCGGCCUAUCAGCUUGUUGGUGGGGUAAUGGCCUACCAAGGCGGCGACGGGUAGCCGGCCUGCGAGGGUGGACGGCCACAUUGGGACUGGGAUACGGCCCAGACUCCUACGGGAGGCAGCAGUGGGGAAUAUUGCAAAAUGGGAGCAAGCCUGAUGCAGCGACGCCGCGUGGGGGAUGACGGCCUUCGGGUUGUAAACUCCUUUCGCUAGGGACGAAGCUUUUUGUGACGGUACCUAGAUAAGAAGCACCGGCUAACUACGUG